rnacentral:tRNA from 1 species
GAAUUUAAAGCUAAAAAGAAGCAACGGUUUUGUAAACCGAAGAAUGGAUUAUCCUAAAUUC